rnacentral:lncRNA from 8 species
AUGAAGGGACUGAAAGGGAGGAGAAUACUGGAGUUGCGCAGGGACAAGGCAAUCUGUAUUACAGAGAGAAGCCAGUCAGAGGAGGAACUGGGAAAGGUGCGGGCUCAGGUUCACCUGGAGGAGGUUUGUUAUACACCUGUGUGUCUGUCUGCCUGUCUGGCUUUGUAUGUGCUUGAGUAUUGGAAAAGCAGUAACAAUGUGGUUAAUCACCUCUUUCCUAUCUCUCUCCCUUCCCCUUCUUCCCCACCUUCCCUCCUCUGUCUGAGGCAGUGUGUCAGUGGGUUAGAGGAGAAGUUGUGUCAGUCUCGUGAUUCCCAGAGCCACUGCUCCCAGCAGAAACAGACCAUAGCAGAGCUGCAGGCUCUCAGCAGACAGCAGAGCAUCAAGACAGACGGACUACGAUGCAGGAUAGAGGCGAUGCAGCAGGUCCGAUUGGGAAUGUGUCAGAGAUCACUGGCACAAAAUGACCAACUAUACACUAUACACACGGAAACAACUCCUAUAUCAAGUACAGUGUAGUUGUCAAAUAAGAAUCACAUUUGCCUGGGGAAAUAUGAUUCUAAUAACUGACUUUCUCUUCUCUCUCUCUGUCACUCUGUCAAUCUCUCUGUCACUGGCACUCUCCCUCUUUGUCUAUCUCUUUCUCCUCUCUCUGUCCUCCAGUCUAUAAACCAUCUUCUGUUAUUUACCCUCCUAUCCUUCUCUCUCUUAUACAAUCCCAUCCACUUGAAUGAAACAUCUCCCCAGUGUUUGUCUGCAUUGGUUUGUGAUUGUAUGAGUGUGACAUUUUCUCCCACAGUGCUGGUCAGUAACCACAGAGAGGCCAUCCUGGAUAAGGAGGAUGAGAUCUCGUCUCUGUUUGAGAACCUGAGGCUGAGAGAGGCAGCGAUUCAGAGCAUGAGAGAGGAUGAGGCCCAGAGAGCCAGCUAUACUCACAUACACUACAUGGCCAAAAGUAUGUGGACAUUCCCUUCAAACCCCCUUCAAAUUAGUGGAUUCGGCUAUUUUGUUGCUGGACCCGUUGCUGACAGGUGUAUAAAAUCAAGCACACAGCCAUGCAAUCUCCAUAGACAAAUAUUGGCAGUAGAAUGGCCUUACUGAAGAGCUCAAUGAAUUUCAACAUUGCACCGUCAUAGGAUGCCACCUUUCCAACAAGUCAGUUUGUCAAAUGUCUGCCCUGCUAGAGCUGCCAUUGGACUCUGCAGUGGAAACACAUUCUCUCUAUAUUAAUGCCCAGGAUUUUGGAAUGAGAUGUUCAAUGAGCAGGUGUACACAUACUUUCGGACUGUAGUGUAUGUGUAGGGGUCACCGCUGCACUACAGUCAGUGUUGUGUUCGAGACUACCUAAAAACGAGACCGAUUCAAGACCAGAGCAAAUCGAAUCUGAGUCAAGACCAAGACCGGAGGGGGGGCGAGACCGAGUCAAGAUCUAGAGGGGAUAUGGGGUUCGAGACCGAGUCACAACCGAGACAUAGAGGGGGAUAUGGGGUCCAAGACCGAGACCUAGAUGGGAAUAUGGGGUGCGAGACCGAAUCAAGACCGAGACCUAGAGGGGGAUAUGGGGUCCGAGACGAAUCAAAACCGAGACCAGAAAAAUGUGAGUCCAAUUUAAGACCAUGAUUGUAAUAUUGUUAAAUCCCCACCAUAAUAAGAGUUCAAAAUGUCCAGUAUUUCUGUGUUCAUAUUUCAGAACAACUUAUGGAUUCUUUAGACAUUCAGAAUAGUGAAUAAAUGCAUGCUGAGGGAAAAUAGAGCCCCUCUACAAAUGAUUACUAACCCAAACACAGUGUCGAACAAUGGGCCUUCUACGCCUUGAGAGAAGGGCUAAGGAUUCAUAAAAUAGUGAUUAUAAUAAUAAUAAUAAUAAUUUUUUAUUUUAAAUGUUCUGAUUUAAUCGCUUACAUUUUUGUUGGAAAGGAAAGGAAACUUCUGCCUUGAAGGCCAACAGGUCACUGCGCAAUAGCGAGCAGUAGUUUUCCCAUGGUUUAGCUAGCUAGCUAGCUUUUGUUGUCGGCUAGUUUGCAGCAGCUGCAGCAGGUGUUCAUAGGGCUAGGCGUCCCACUAGCGGGACAACUUCUGGUGAAACUGGAGGGCGCGCAAUUCAAAUAAAUAAUCAUACAGAUUAUGGAUAUUAAACAUUUAGGUACAUGUAAGUGUCUUAUAUUGGCUGAAAGCUUAAAUUCUUGUUAAUCUAUCUGCACUGUCAGAUUUACUGUAGCUGUUACAGCGAAAACAUGCGAUUGUUUGAGGACGGCGCCCCACAUCAAAAUAUUUUUCCACCGGCACAGGUUUUAUAAAUUCACAAAUAGUGAUUAAAUAUUCACUUACUUUUUGAAAAUCUUCCUCUGAUUUGUCAUCCAAAGGGUCCCAGCUAUAACAUGUAGUGUCGUUUUGUUAGAUAAAAUCCUUCUUUAUAUCCCAAAAUGUCUGUUUAGUUGGCGGCAUCAAUUUGCGUAAUCCACUCGUUCAACAUGCAGAGAAAGGAAUCCGAAAAUCUACCCCUAAACUUUGUUUCAACAAGUCAAAAUACAUUUCUAUUUACUCCUCAGAUACUAUAAUAUUUGUUACGGAAAGAAGUAUGUUCAAUAGGAAACCGAUUUUAGCAGGUGCGUCCUGUUUUCAUGGCGCGUGCAAACACGAAUUUCCAAGACUGUGUCCCUGUACUAAAACUGAUAUUUCUUAUUCGUUUUUGAAGUUACAAGCCUGAAACCUUGAACAUAGACUGCUGACACCCUGUGGAAGCCAUAGGAAUUGCAUACAGGGAGCUAAUUUUCAAUAUGACCUUAUACUUGCCAUUCUAAGAAGAUGGUCUCUCUCUCAAAAAAAUAAUUCUGGUUGAUUUUUCUUUGGAUUUUCUCCUACCAUAUCUAUGUAUUAUUCUCCUACAUUAUUGUAACAUUUCUACAAACUUCAAAGUGUUUUCUUUCCAAUGGUACCAAUUAUAUGCAUAUCUUGGCUUCAGAACCUGAGCAACAGGCAGUUUACUUUGGGCACGUCUUUCAGGAUGGAAAUUGAAAAAAAAGGGCCCUAGCCCUAAGUUAACAAAGAGGAUGUUGUUCCUAAUUUGUU